UACGUAGGGACCAAGCGUUGUUCGGAAUCACUGGGCAUAAAGCGCACGUAGGCGGUGCCGUAAGUCGGAUGUGAAAUCCCUCGGCCUAACCGAGGAACUGCGUCCGAUACUGCGGUGCUUGAGGAUCAGAGGGGUGCAUGGAAUUUCCGGUGGAGCGGUGAAAUGCGUUGAUAUCGGAAGGAACUCCGGCGGCGAAAGCGAUGCACUGGCUGAUUUCUGACGCUGAGGUGCGAAAGCCAGGGGAGCAAACGGG
rnacentral:rRNA from 1 species